rnacentral:rRNA from 1 species
GAUGAACGCUGGCGGCGUGCCUAAUACUUGCAAGUCGAGCGAACAGACGAGGAGCUUGCUCCUCUGACGUUAGCGGCGGACGGGUGAGUAACACGUGGAUAACCUACCUAUAAGACUGGGAUAACUUCGGGAAACCGGAGCUAAUACCGGAUAAUAUAUUGAACCGCAUGGUUCAAUAGUGAAAGACGGUUUUGCUGUCACUUAUAGAUGGAUCCGCGCCGCAUUAGCUAGUUGGUAAGGUAACGGCUUACCAAGGCAACGAUGCGUAGCCGACCUGAGAGGGUGAUCGGCCACACAGGAACUGAGACACGGUCCAGACUCCUACGGGAGGCAGCAGUAGGGAAUCUUCCGCAAUGGGCGAAAGCCUGACGGAGCAACGCCGCGUGAGUGAUGAAGGUCUUCGGAUCGUAAAACUCUGUUAUUAGGGAAGAACAAAUGUGUAAGUAACUAUGCACGUCUUGACGGUACCUAAUCAGAAAGCCACGGCUAACUACGUG